rnacentral:rRNA from 1 species
GACGAACGCUGGCGGCGUGCUUAACACAUGCAAGUCGAGCGGAGCGGCGAACGGGUGAGUAACGCGUGAGUAACUGCCCCCCUCUCUGGGAUAACAGUUGGAAACGGCUGCUAAUACCGGAUAGUGGGGGGUGACUCGCGUCCUAUCAGCUUUGUGGUGGGGUAUUGGCCUAACAAGGCGACGACGGGUAGCCGGCCUGAGGGGGCGACCGGCCACAGUGGGCUGGGUUACGGCCCAAUCUCCUACGGGAGGCAGCAGUGGGGAAUAGUGCACAAUGGGGGAAACCCUGAGGCAGAAACGCCGCGUGCGGGAGAACGGCCUUCGGGUUGUAAACCGCUUUCAGCCAUGACGCGGUAUUGGCAGAAGAAGCACCGGCUAACUACGUGCCAGCAGCCGCGGUAAUUC